rnacentral:lncRNA from 1 species
UAUGUUUAGUCCCUAAAUUUUCCUAAUAUGGUAACAAUUGUACAUUAGAAUUACAUUUGGGAAGUUAAAGUAACUAACUGAGCCAAAAUGAAGCUUGUUGCUGUAAUAUAUAAUUUAUUAGUUGAGCAAAGUACAUGAACAGUAACCUAAAAAAUUCAUUACAUAAACUCAAACUUCCUAGUAGUGUGCUGAGAUGAUGGCUAUGAUUUAGUGGUUGACCAACUUCCUUAUACACAUAGUGUUCUUCUAAUUUCCAUUAAAUUAAACUAUGUUGCAAGAGCAUUAACUGAGCAAUAAUGUCUCUUUAUAUGGUACCACCAUUCCCUUAGUUUUUAGUUACGUGAAAAUUGUCUGUUAAGACUAAAGUUUGAGAGUGAAGAUUUCUGAGCUUGGAGUUGGGUUGCUGAGGAUUAUAGAUUGUGCAGAGAUAGAGAAUUAAGUAAACUAAGCCACAAAGAAGGUAAGAAUCUGAUUUUACAUUCUUGAAUUCAAAGUUCUUCAUUUCUUAGAAAAAUGUGAUGAAAUACUAGCUUUUGAGUCACAAAAUUUAUGGCUAAGGGUUGUUAUAAUCCAUGAAUUGAUGUUAGAGGUUGUUAAUACAGUUAAAAACAAAAAUAAUGAGAGUUAACCGAACCAAAUUGGUUAAGAAAUGAAUCUGUAGUAGUGAAAUUCGCUAUACAUGUGAAAUUAUGGGAAAAUGGCAAAAAUCUUGAAUUCGAGUAAUCAAGUUGUGUUUAUGUGAUUUGAAGAUUGUUAUCAUGUUAGUUAAGUGUUAUAAGCAUGUACAGGAG